rnacentral:pre_miRNA from 1 species
AGUGGGAUAACUGGUUCAAAUGGUGUUUUUUUUUUUUUUUUAGGAAUUUCCAUACUGCUUUCCAGAGUGGUUGCAUCAAUUUGCAGUCCCACCAGCAAU